AGAGUUUGAUCAUGGCUCAGGACGAACGCUGGCGGCGUGCCUAAUACAUGCAAGUCGAGCGAAUCAAUAGGAGCUUGCUCCUGUUGGUUAGCGGCGGACGGGUGAGUAACACGUGGGCAACCUGCCUGUAAGACUGGGAUAACUUCGGGAAACCGGAGCUAAUACCGGAUAAUCCUUUUCCUCUCAUGAGGGAAAGCUGAAAGACGGUUUCGGCUGUCACUUACAGAUGGGCCCGCGGCGCAUUAGCUAGUUGGUGAGGUAACGGCUCACCAAGGCGACGAUGCGUAGCCGACCUGAGAGGGUGAUCGGCCACACUGGGACUGAGACACGGCCCAGACUCCUACGGGAGGCAGCAGUAGGGAAUCUUCCACAAUGGACGAAAGUCUGAUGGAGCAACGCCGCGUGAGCGAUGAAGGCCUUCGGGUCGUAAAGCUCUGUUGUUAGGGAAGAACAAGUAUCGGAGUAACUGCCGGUACCUUGACGGUACCUAACCAGAAAGCCACGGCUAACUACGUGCCAGCAGCCGCGGUAAUACGUAGGUGGCAAGCGUUGUCCGGAAUUAUUGGGCGUAAAGCGCGCGCAGGCGGUCCUUUAAGUCUGAUGUGAAAGCCCACGGCUCAACCGUGGAGGGUCAUUGGAAACUGGGGGACUUGAGUACAGAAGAGGAAAGCGGAAUUCCACGUGUAGCGGUGAAAUGCGUAGAGAUGUGGAGGAACACCAGUGGCGAAGGCGGCUUUCUGGUCUGUAACUGACGCUGAGGCGCGAAAGCGUGGGGAGCAAACAGGAUUAGAUACCCUGGUAGUCCACGCCGUAAACGAUGAGUGCUAAGUGUUAGGGGGUUUCCGCCCCUUAGUGCUGCAGCUAACGCAUUAAGCACUCCGCCUGGGGGAGUACGGCC
rnacentral:rRNA from 1 species